CGCAGGCCGUUCCUCGGGGCCGCGGAGGGCCGCCCCCUCCCCGGGUGGGCUCUCCGGGGCGGGGAGGGGGCGGCGGUGGGGGCCCGCGGCCGUGCGAGCGGCUUCAUAGGUGUUACGCGCCGGGGACCGGCGGACUAGAAAAGAAAAGAGACGGGCCAAGAACCAACCGUGAGCUCUGCAGUCCCAAGGGGAAAAGCAAACGCUGUUUUCCUGCAGUUGCAAACGCUCGAUGGACGCGUACAUUUAUACGCCUGUUUUUCUUCCAAGGUGGUCGGUGUCAAGGAGCAGCUGAUGCAGAGACGUGCAACCUCAGAGCAAAAACGUCUAUUGCUGAUCGAGUUUCAGAACAAAGGGAGAUUAACUGUUAGGGAUUGGAGUUAUUUGCAUACAGUCUAUUGCAUUUCCAGGCAGAGAAAGUUAAAAAGAGGACUGACGUGGUUUAGGAACUAUCUGUAGCUCAGUGAAGCUUUAAAUCAAGUUAACGCUCUCACAGCCCUUGGGGGAUUUGCAUAAUUUCCAUAAUGUGCAGCAUGUUUUUCACUUCCCAAUAGAAACCAUCAGUUAUGUAAGCAAAUUGGUUGCAUAAUUAUGCAGAUGGAAAAAUAAGUUUAAUUGAUUCAACA